rnacentral:ribozyme from 1 species
UCUGCAAGGAGGAACCCAAUGGCUCUCGUCUCAGGUUCUCGAUUGAAUGGUUAUCAGAACCGGCAGAGGUCCCCUUUGCGGA